UACGUAGGGUGCGAGCGUUGUCCGGAAUUAUUGGGCGUAAAGGGCUCGUAGGCGGUUUGUCGCGUCGGGAGUGAAAACCUCGGGCUUAACUCGGGGCUUGCUUUCGAUACGGGCAGACUAGGGGUAUGCAGGGGAGAACGGAAUUCCUGGUGUAGCGGUGAAAUGCGCAGAUAUCAGGAGGAACACCGGUGGCGAAGGCGGUUCUCUAGGCAUGAUCUGACGCUGAGGAGCGAAAGUGUGGGGAGCGAACAGG
rnacentral:rRNA from 1 species